CCUCGGUAACCUGCUGCGGGCAGAUGUAGUGGCAAUGGGCAUCGAUCGCGCCUGCGGUGACGAUGAGCUUUUCGCCGGCGAUGGCCUCCGUGGACGAGCCGACGACGAGGUUCUUGUCGACGCCGUCCAUGACAUCGGGGUUGCCUGCCUUGCCGAUGCCAACAAUGUUCCCGCCGCGCACACCAAUAUCCGCCUUUUUAAGACAGGUCAGAAAAGCAUAGUGGCAGUGAAACUGCCAUUCACCUUGUAGAUGCCAGACCAGUCGAUGAUGAGAGCGUUAGUGAUGACCAAGUCCAGGCACCCCUUGGAAGAACGGUCUGUGGCCUGGCCCAUGCCCUCGCGGAUG
rnacentral:sRNA from 1 species